CCCUUAGACGUUCUGGGCCGCACGCGCGCUACACUGACGAAGGCAACGAGCCUUCCUUUACCGAAAGGUACGGGUAAUCUUUUGAAACUUCGUCGUACUGGGGAUAGAUCCUUGCAAUUUUUGAUCUUAAACGAGGAAUUCCUAGUAAGCGCAAGUCAUCAACUUGCGUUGAUUACGUCCCUGCCCUUUGUACACACCGCCCGUCGCUACUACCGAUUGAAUGGUUUAGUGAGGCCUUCGGAUCCGCGACUCGUUUUGUGGAGAAGUUGGACAAACUCAGUCAUUUAGAGGAAGUAAAAGUCGUAACA
rnacentral:rRNA from 1 species